CAAAUCAAAAGGUUACGAGUACGAAUCUAAAAAUUACAAGUAGGAUUGAGCCUUAACUCGCUGUCUAAAAUAUGUCACAGAGUUCACAGGCACAGAUAGUUGAUUGUGGGAACAACCGAUGAGAACGUCAAUGCAUGUGUUCCUCGUGUUGUUGAGAGAAGGGAAGAGAGGAACAAACUAAUUUUCUAAACAUAGCAGAAACGCGUCAUGCAGGAGAUACACAGUCUCAGGAUUUACUAAGGCAACAUGUGAUGGAGCGUCUCAAAUCAAGAUUGGCGCGCUCACUCAAUCAAGCAUCAUUAGAUUUAGAUUACUUUGAAUUUGUCAUCAAUCAAGAAAUGUUCAGACUUCCGCUUCAAACAUUGUUGAUAUCCCAUCUGAAAUUAUGGACACUCUCAUGCAGCUCCUCAGGCUACUUUGAGUUGCACUUAGCCAGCAAGACCAGUCGUCAGCAUUUAUCCGAGAAGUAGGUACAACAUUGUGAUAUUUGGGGGAAUUGACGGUUUCUCUAGAAAGAUCAUGUACUUAGAAGCAGCAACCAAUAACAGAUCUACAACCUCACUCACGUUUUUUCUGCAGUCUGUGCAGAGGAAUGGCUGGCCUUGAAGGUAUAACUAACUUUCUCUAAAUACCUUUUCGUCAGGAGUGCUGUGGGAGUGGAGGGUGUUGGAAUAACGGAGUGCAUGUUCAGAGAACAGGAAGAGGAAACUUUAUUGCUGGUAAAAGUGUGCACAACCAAAGUUAAGUUUUGUGUUGACCCGGUUUUUAAUGUUGUACAAAUUCUUCACAGAAAAUGUCAGCUAUGUAUUCGUUCAACUAAAAUAUCAAUUGAAAUGAAUAGUGGAUUGGAUGUGUGUGUGAUGCACAAAACUUUUGUAGAAUUUCAAAAUCGUACAUUUAUUGAAAUGUACAUUUGUUGUUAGAUUUAAAGAUUAGACUCCAUGCUUGACAAGAACACCAACUGUAUAAAACGUCUGUGGAAACAACUGCAAAGAAAAUGAUAUCGACACAAUGACAAAAGAUGUUAAGCUGUUAUUGCUGCCAAAGGUGACCAUAAAAUACACUUUCAGACAUGGGUGUGGUUUUAGUUUUAUUUAUAUUGGGAAUAUGUAUUCACAAUUAGUAUUUUGUGGUGUUUAGGUGUUCUAAUAAAUGUGGCCAGUACUGUUUUUUUUCUUGUUUUUAGGAUAGAACGACUGUGGCAUGAUGUCUGGGUCAGUGUAACACAGUUAUACUAUGAGAUUCUCCACAGCCUAGAAGAUGGGCUCUUGGAGCUGUCAAACGCUCUUCAUAUUUUCUGUGUUCACUACGUGUUCCUUCCUUGUCUACAAGCACAUCUGCACAUGUUUAGCACUAGCUGGGAUAAUCACCCUUUAAGUACUGAGGGGGGUUAUCUCCCAAUCGGUUGUGGAUAAUGGUCCAUAUGCAGAACCCAUUAAGUGACUCUGAAGAUGUUUUACAGGUGUUUAUUUUUUAAGCAUUUUUGUAUACGAAAUGUGUUUUCAAUCAGAUUUCCUGUUCCAUCAUUUUUUUUUAACCUUGGUCAGCCUGUCCCCUUGAAUAGUGCUGUGUGCUUGUCUUGAUUCCUGUGUUUUGAGGCAACAAAAUUCUAGUAUGAGUGCACUUAUUUAUUUUGUGAUAUGCACCUACCUAUCUUGACCUGUUCUCCUCAUUUAUUAGGUUACAUCUAUCAAUAUGUUUACAUAAAAUAUAAUGGUAAAUUGAAAUACAUAUGUACAGGGUGAUAAAGUAAGCAUACCACGUCAAUAUAUCAGUGCACUGUAUCUCCCAAAUGGUAGGGCAUAUGAAGGUGAAAUUGCAUCUUGCGCUAUAUAAAAAUAAAGAUAUUAUUAUUACCAGAAACAACUCAUCUAAUGUAUUUUGCAAAUUACUGGCACCAAUUGGGAAAUGUAAGAUUUUACUGAUGACAUCCACCCUGGAAUUGAAGUACCAGAAAUCGAAUGCCCUGUGACCGAGGAGGUGCUGGACAAUAUUAAGCACGUUAUAGACCCCACUGCACACUCUGACUCAUUCGGACAAUUUACAUUGCAAUGCUGCAGUGCGUUGUUUGCUUUACUAGUGCAAAACAUGAAUAAUAUAUGCUUGUUUAUUUAUUUAUUUAUUUAUUUAUUUUUGGGGGGGGGGGGCGGUCACUAAACAAAAAAAAGCAAUGGUGAAUUUUGCUUCUGUGUACCAAAAUGCCUUCACCCACUCUUGUAAUCAUUACUUAAAGAUGUCCACUCCCAUACAUGCUUAUAUAGGAGAGCCUUCCAACCUUCUGUGCCUGUGACCUCUGUGACGUAUUUUAGACAGCGAGUUAAGGCUCAAUCCUACUUGUAAUUUUUAGAUUCGUACUCGUAACUUUUUGAUUUGUACU